CAGGACAGGUACAGCACAGGCAGGGACAGUGAGAGCUUUCCCCACACCACCCCUUCCAUGUGCCUCAACCCUGACCUGGAGGGACCAUCUCUAGA
ensembl:misc_RNA